AUGGUGAAACAAAAGAAUAGCGAAGAAGAAGCAAAUGCGCUUCACGCUAAUUCCAAGUACCAACACAAAACAAAUUCAAUGUUUGGUGAAGCAACUUGCUUAGUGGCGGACGGGUGAGUAACGCGUGAACAAUCUGCCCCGUACAAAGGGAUAGCCUCGGGAAACCGGGAUUAAAACCAUAUAACACUUAACUGCCGCAUGGUAGUGAAGUCAAAUCGAGUAAGAGGUAUGGGAUGAGUUCGCGUCUGAUUAGCUAGUUGGUGAGGUAAGGGCUCACCAAGGCGACGAUCAGUAGCCGGCCUGAGAGGGUGAACGGCCACACUGGAACUGAGACACGGUCCAGACUCCUACGGGAGGCAGCAGUGGGGAAUAUUGCACAAUGGAGGGAACUCUGAUGCAGCGACGCCGCGUGAGUGAAGAAGGUCUUCGGAUCGUAAAACUCUGUCCUUGGUGAAGAAAAGGACGGUAGCCAAGGAGGAAGCCCCGGCUAACUACGUGCCAGCAGCCGCGGUAAUACGUAGGGGGCGAGCGUUGUCCGGAUUUACUGGGCGUAAAGGGUGAGUAGGNNNNUAUAUAUGUCAGGUGUAAAAAGCUAUGGCUUAACCAUAGUAAGCACUUGAAACUGUAUGACUUGAGUGCAGGAGAGGUAAGCNNNNNNCCUAGUGUAGCGGUGAAAUGCGUAGAUAUUAGGAGGAACACCGGUGGCGAAGGCGGCUUACUGGACUGUAACUGACGCUGAGUCACGAAAGCGUGGGUAGCAAACAGGAUUAGAUACCCUGGUAGUCCACGCUGUAAACGAUGAGUGCUAGGUGUUGGGUAGCGAUAUUCAGUGCCGGAGUAAACACAAUAAGCACUCCGCCUGGGGAGUACGGUCGCAAGACUGAAACUCAAAGGAAUUGACGGGGACCCGCACAAGCAGCGGAGCAUGUGGUUUAAUUCGAGGCUACACGAAGAACCUUACCUGGGCUUGACAUGUAAGUGAAAGGGUUAAGAAACUAACUCUCUCUUAUGUAGCAAUACAUAAGACACUUACACAGGUGGUGCAUGGUUGUCGUCAGCUCGUGCCGUGAGGUGUAAGGUUAAGUCCUUGAACGAGCGCAACCCUCCCUGUUAUUUGCUAUAAGUUCUUAUGAGCUUAGCACUAUAACAGUACCGCUACCGACAAGGUAGAGGAAGGCGAGGAUGACGUCAAAUCAUCACGCCCCUUAUGUCCAGGGCUACACACAUGCGACAAUGGUUGGUACAGAGGGAAGCAAUAGAGUAAUCUGGAGCAAAUCCCCAAAAACCAGCCCCAGUACAGAUCGAGGGUUGAAACCCACCCUCGUGAAGAUGGAGUUGCUAGUAAACGCAGGUCAGCUACACUGCGUUGAAUAUGUUCCCGGGCCU
rnacentral:rRNA from 1 species